UUUAUUUAUUUAUUUAUUUAUUUAUUUAUUUAUUUUUUUUAUUUAUUUAUUUAUUAUUUUUUUUUUUUUAAUACUACCAUAUGUAAACAACCAUGUUCAGAUAUUAUAUGCGCGUCAAAAUUUCACUCGAAAAGGAAAUCCUUGCUGACCUUAAAGCAGGAAAUAUUGUUAGUGUGAAAGAAAAAGUGGACAUUUAUUUGAGCAUUUUCAAAACGGAUGAUAAUACAAAUGUACAGGGUAAUGAAGAAGUAAACAUAAAAAACGACGAUGGAUCAAAGAAUAACGUGUUAAAGGAUAAUAAGUCAACCGACAAUAAGUCAAUAGACAAUAAGUCAACAGAUAAUAAGUCAACAGAUAAUGAGUCAACAGAUAAUAAGUCAACAGAUAAUAAGUCAAUAGACAAUAAGUCAAUAGACAACGUGUUAAAUAACGAUCAUAAGGACACAGCCCGUAGUUAUAGUGACAGUAAUGGUAACAGUAAUGGUGAAAAUGGUAAUGACAGUUAUAGUGACAGUGACGGAGAUAGUGGUAAUAAAAAAAAAGAACAGCCUUAAGAAAUAUAAAUGAAUAUACUAGUAACAAUAAUGAUAUAAAUGAAAAGGAUGAUUAUUAUAAAAAAAAAAAAAAAAUGAGAAAAAUGUAAAUAAUGUAAAAAACAUAGCAACAUCUGUUGAACGUGAAAAUAAUUAUAUAGCUCAUGUCAUAAUUUAUUUUGAAGAAUAUACAUUUAUAUGUCAUAUAACUAGUAUGUUGUUAGAACUUGAAUUUAAUAAAUUAAUAGAUCUGUUAGAUAAAAAAGUGAUAAGUAACGAAGAUAAUGCAUAUAUUGAAUGUAUUAAACAUGUUUACAGUUGUUUAUAUAAAUCGAAUAUUUAUUUUGAAAAAUUAAUUAGUUUUGGUAAAGAUUAUAAAAAGAAAUAUACCAAUCUCGUAUAUAUAAUUUAUAAUAGAAAAGUGGAACUUUUAUUUGAUAAAGUUGUUAAUACUAUUAGUAAAUAUUUUUUUGAGCAGGUAAAAUUAUUUAUACAAACUUUUCAUGAUUUAAAAGACUAUGAUAAGAAUAUUGAAAUUUUAUCAUUAUUAUGUUAUAAUAUAUUAAAUAUAAAAAAAUAUAUACAUAUAUAUUCUUCUGACAAAAUGCAACAAAUUGAAUUUAUUUUUAAAAUAAAAAAUCAUCUAAAUAGUAAUAUAUUUUCUAAUAAAACUGGAUUGUAUAAUAAUUUAUCAUAUAUAAUUUUAAUUCAAAACUUUAUAUGUGCAUAUAUAGAUAGUGAAGUUUUGUUUAUUAAACAUUGUAUUGAUAAGGCUUAUAUAUUAACUGAUGAUAUAAUGUUAUCUUUUAUUGAAGAAAGUGAAAUAAAUAAAAAAAAAUAUACAACAUAUAAUGGUAAUAGUAUGAUUAAUACUGUUGGUGUUAGUAGUAGUUCUAUUAAUAUUAGUACAGGUAGUACAAUUAUUAAUAGCAAUAAAAAAAUAAAUAACUUAGAUACAUCUCAAUAUGAUGCAUUUUUAACAAAUAAUAACAAUAAUAGUAAUAAUAAUGAAUAUACAUCGACUUUUUUAGAAGAUUCUUUUUAUAUUUUUCAAAAAAGUGCUUGUAGAAGUAUACAUAUGAAUGAUAUACACACAGUUUGUGUUUUACUAAAUAAUAUAAUGAAUGUUUUUUCAACAACCUUAAUUACGUAUCUAAAAGAUAAUAUUAGUAUUAGUAAAAAUAUAUACAUUUCUUAUAUUCAUAAUAAAAAUAAUUUAACAAAUUUUACUUUUACUACUAUGCUUAAAAAUAUUGACACAAAUAAUUAUAUUACUGGUAAUCAAUUAACGAAAACAUUAACACUUGCUCAUAAUUUAGUAAAUUCUUUGGGUUAUGUAACAAAUGAAACCAAUCCAAAUAAAAGAAGUCCUAACAAUAAUGACAGUAAUAACGUUAGAACUGGUACUACCACUAAUAGUUAUAUAAAUAUGUCUGAAGAUAAAAAGAGUAUAUCAGGUAAUACUGCCACUACUACUACUACUGCUGCUGCUGCUGCUAGUAGUAGUACUACUACUACCACUGCUACUACUGCUACUACUGCUACUACAGCUACUACAGCUACUACAGCUACUACAGCUACUACAGAUACUACAGCUACUACAGCUACUACAGCUACUACUGCUACUACUAACACUCAGAACCAAUCAAAAAAAUCUAUUUACGAUUAUAUAACACCCGAUGAUUAUAAUAAUAUAUUUAAUCCAUUAUUAAAUAAAGACAAUUUAAAAAAAUAUAUUAUUAAUUCUAAGUUUAGUUAUCCACAUUGUAUUAAUAAUAUUGACUCUUGUUAUCAAUAUAUACAAAAAUUUAAAACCUUUACAUAUGAUUAUUUUAAUCAAAAUUUUUUAAAAAAUAAUACAGAUAAAAAACAAGUAAAUAAUUAUUUACUUAUGUUUAAUAAUGCAUUAACUGACUAUGACAAUAUAUUAAUUGAAUAUAAUAAUUUGAAUAUAGAAAAUUGUAAACUUUUAUUAAAUAUAUUAAAAAUGCAUUUUAUAAACGAACUUGUAGUUAUAGAAAAUAUUAAUUUUGAUAUUACUAAUGAACAAUAUACAUACUACCAAUUUAAUGAUCCCUAUAUUAAUAACUUAUUAGAUAAAUUAAAAUUAAUACUUUAUCAUAUUAAACUAUAUUUUAAUAAUAAUAUAUUCCAUAUAUCGAUUAACUUGUUGACACAGAAGAUUUGUAAAUACAUAGAACGAAUAAUUAGGAAAAAAAAAUUCAGUUUAUAUGGAUGUGUUCAAAUAGAUAACGACAUAAGAAACUUAAUGUUAUUUUUUACAUCUGUAACAAAUAUUAAUAUUAAAAAAGAGUUUAAUAAAUUACUCGAAAUAUGUGAACUAUUAAACAUUAACGAUAUACAAGAUUUUAGGUACUAUUAUGAUGAAAAUAAACAUAACCUUAACAAAGAGGACAUUGAAGAUAUUAUUUUACUAAGAAAUGAUUUUGAUGAAAUGUUAAUAAAAAAUAUUAAAGCAUACAUUCAAAUAAAAGAGUA
rnacentral:lncRNA from 1 species